rnacentral:rRNA from 1 species
UACGUAGGGUGCAAGCGUUGUCCGGAAUUAUUAGGCGUAAAGAGCUCGUAGGCGGUUUGUCGCGUCUGCUGUGAAAACUCGGGGCUUAACUCCGGGCCUGCAGUGGGUACGGGCAGACUAGAGUGCGGUAGGGGAGACUGGAAUUCCUGGUGUAGCGGUGAAAUGCGCAGAUAUCAGGAGGAACACCGGUGGCGAAGGCGGGUCUCUGGGCCGUAACUGACGCUGAGGAGCGAAAGCGUGGGGAGCGAACAGG